rnacentral:rRNA from 1 species
UACGUAGGGGGCAAGCGUUGUCCGGAUUUACUGGGCGUAAAGGAUGCGUAGGUGGAUAUUUAAGUGGGAUGUGAAAUACCCGGGCUCAACUCGGGUGCUGCAUUCCAAACUGGAUAUCUAGAGUGCAGGAGAGGUAAGUGGAAUUCCUAGUGUAGCGGUGAAAUGCGUAGAGAUUAGGAAGAACACCAGUGGCGAAGGCGACUUACUGGACUGUAACUGACACUGAGGCAUGAAAGCGUGGGGAGCAAACAGG